GACGAACGCUGGCGGCGUGCUUAACACAUGCAAGUCGAACGGAAAGGCCCUGUUUUUGUGGGGUGCUCAAGUGGCGAAAGGGUGAGUAACACGUGAGUAACCUGCCCUUGACUUUGGGGUAACUUCAGGAAAAUGGGGCUAAUACCGGAUAGGAGCUCCUGCUGCAUGGUGGGGGUUGGAAAGUUUCGGCGGUUGGGGAUGGACGCGCGGCUUAUCAGCUUGUUGGUGGGGUAGUGGCGUACCAAGGCUUUGACGGGUAGCCGGACUGCGAGGGUGACCGGCCACAUUGGGACUGGGAUGCGGCCCAGACUCCUACGGGAGGCAGCAGUGGGGAAUAUUGCACAAUGGGCGGAAGCCUGAUGCAGCAACGCCGCGUGCUGGAUGACGGCCUUCGGGUUGUAAACCGCUUUCGCCUGUGACGAAGCGUGAGUGACGGUAAUGGGUAAAGAAGCACCGGCUAACUACGUG
rnacentral:rRNA from 1 species